UACGAAGGUCCCAAGCGUUAUCCGGAUUUAUUGGGCUUAAAGGGUGCGUAGGCGGACUAUUAAGUCAGUGGUGAAAGCCCCAGGCCUAACCUGGGAACUGCCAUUGAUACUGAUGGUCUUGAGUACAUUUGAGGUGGGCGGAAUGUGUCAUGUAGCGGUGAAAUGCUUAGAUAUGACACAGAACACCGAUUGCGAAGGCAGCUCACUAGACUGUAACUGACGCUGAGGCACGAAAGCGUGGGGAGCAAACAGG
rnacentral:rRNA from 1 species